UAAAUGACUCUCGGCAACGGAUAUCUCGGCUCACGCAUCGAUGAAGAACGUAGCAAAAUGCGAUACUUGGUGUGAAUUGCAGAAUCCCGUGAACCAUCGAGUUUUUGAACGCAAGUUGCGCCCAAAGCCAUUUGGUUGAGGGCACGUCUGCCUGGGCGUCACGU
rnacentral:rRNA from 4 species